rnacentral:piRNA from 1 species
UGACAAAGCUGUAGUGGGGUGA